rnacentral:rRNA from 1 species
CGCCCGGAGAUGGAUUCUGAGACACGAAUCCAGGCCCUACGGGGCGCAGCAGUUACGAAAACUUGGCAAUGCGGGAAACCGCGACCAGGGAAUUCCAAGUGCAUGCACUUAGUGUAUGCUGUUCCAUUGUCUUAAAAACAUAGGAAGUAAGGGCUGGGUAAGACAGGUGCCAGCCGCCGCGGUAAUACCUGCAGCCCGAGUGGUGUUCGAUAUUAUUGAGCCUAAAGCGUCCGUAGCCGGACCAGUAAAUUCUUGGGUAAAUCGGGCAGCUUAACUGUCCGACUUCCGAGGAGACUGCUGGUCUUGGGACUGGGAGAGGUCAGAGGUACUCCAGGGGUAGGGGCUAAAUCCUGUAAUCCUUGGGGGACCACCAGUGGCGAAGGCGUCUGACUAGAACGGAUCCGACGGUAAGGGACGAAACCCUGGGUCGCAAACCGGAUUAGAUACCCGGGUAGUCCAGGGCGUAAACGCUGCAGGCUUGGUGUUGAGGAUCCUACGAGGAUGCUCAGUGCCGGAGUGAAGAUGUUAAGCCUGCCGCUUGGGGAGUACGUCCGCAAGGAUGAAACUUAAAGGAAUUGGCGGGGGAGCACAAUCG